CUGUACAGCUAUACCACCCUGAACAUGCCCAAUCUCAUCUGACCUCAGAAAUUAAGCGAGGUAGUGCUUAGGUGGGAGACUGCCCAGGAAUACUCAGGGCUGUAGGCU
ensembl:rRNA 5S_rRNA 5S ribosomal RNA